AGUUCGAUCGUGGCUCAGAUUGAACGUUGGCGGGAUGCUUUACACAUGCAAGUCGAACGGCAGCACAGACUUCGGUCUGGUGGCGAGUGGCGAACGGGUGAGUAAUGUAUCGGAACGUGCCUAGUAGCGGGGAUAACUACGCGAAGGCGUAGCCUAGCCACCGCGCUACGCCCUUCGAGGAAAGCGGGGGGACCUUCGGGCCUCGCACUAUUAAAACGGCCGAUAUCCGGAUUAGCUAGUUGGUGGGGUAACAGCUCGCAGGCGGGCGACGAUCCGUAGCUGGUUUGAGAGGGCGACCAGCCACACUGGGACUGAGACACAGCGAACUCCUGCAGAGAGCAGCAGUGGGGAAUUUUGGACAAUGGGAAACCACAGUCCAGCCAUCCCGCGUGUGCGAUGAAGGCCUUCGGGUUGUAAAGCACCACAGCAGGAAAAAAACGGCACAGGAUAAUACCCCGUGCAACUGGCCGGCACCUGCAGAAUAAGCACCGGCUAACUACGUGCCAGCAGCCGCUGAUGACCGUAGGGUGCAAGCGUUAAUCGGAAUUACUGGGCGUAAAGCGUGCGCAGGCGGUUCGGAAGAAAGAUGUGAAAUCCCAGAGCUUAACUUUGGAACUGCAUUUUAACUACCGAGCUAGAGUGUGUCAGAGGGAGGGUGGAAUUCCGCGUGUAGCAGUGAAAUGCGUAGAUAUGCGGAGAAGGAACACCGAUGGCGAAGGCAACCUCCUGGGAUAACACUGACGCUCAUGCACGGCGUGGGAGCAAACAGGAUUAGAUACCCUGGUAGUCCACGCCUAAGCUUGAUGUCAACUAGCUAUUUAGAGACUGUUCGGGCCUUGGUAGCACAGCUAACGCGUGAAGUUGACCUGCCUGGGAGAAUACGGUCGCAAGAUUAAACUCAAGGAAUUGACGGGGACCCGCACAAGCGGUGGAUGAUGUGGAUUAAUUCGAUGCAACACCCGAAAAGCCUUGCCUACCCUUGACAUGUCUGGAAUCCCGAAGAGAUUUAAGUGCUCACCAAGAGAACCGGAACACAGGUGCUCGCAUGGCUGUCGUCAGCUCGUGUCGUGAAUGUUGAGUUAAGUCCCGCAACGAGCGCAACCCUUGUCAUUAGUUGCUGCGAAAGGGCACUCUAAUGAGGCACGCGGUGACAAACCGGAGGAAGGUGGGGAUGACGUCAAGUCCCUCGCGGCCCUUAUGGGUAGGGCUUCACACACGUCAUACAAUGGUCAGGACAGAGGGUCGCCAACCCGCGAGGAGCCAAUCCCAGAAGCUUGAUCGUAGUCCGGAUCGCAGUCUGCAACUCGACUGCGUGAAGUCAGGAAUCGCUAGUAAUCGCGGAUCAGCAUGUCGCGGUGAAUACGUUCCCGGGUCUUGUACAUACCGCCCGUCACACCAUGGGAGUGGGUUUACCAGAAGUAGUUAGCCUAACCGUAAGGAGGGCGAUUACCACGGUAGGAUUCAUGACUGGGGUGAAGUCGUAACAAGGUAG
rnacentral:rRNA from 1 species